UUACUCUGGUUUCUCUUCAGGUCGCAUAAAUCUUUCGCCUUUUACUAAAGAGUUCCGUGGAGAGGAACAUUAGAUGUAGUAUAUUUUUAAAAUGAAUGUUAUGUACUAUUUAU